rnacentral:rRNA from 1 species
UGGACAGAAAGACCCUAUGAAGCUUUACUGUAACUUGAAAUUGAAAUUGGACUUUAUUCGCGCAGCAUAGGUGGGAGGCGUUGAUUAUAAUCCUGCGGGAUUAUUGGAGCCAUCAGUGAGAUACCACCCUUGUAAUGUUAGAUUUCUAACUUUGAAUCAUUAUCUGGUCAAAGGACAGUUUCAGGCGGGCAGUUUGACUGGGGCGGUCGCCUCCUAAACGGUAACGGAGGCGUACAAAGGUUUCCUCUGAACGGUUAGAAAUCGUAUCUAGAGUGUAAAGGCAUAAGGAAGCUUGACUGUGAGACCUACAAGUCGAGCAGGGACGAAAGUCGGUCUUAGUGAUCUGACGGUACUGAGUGGAAAGGCCGUCACUCAACGGAUAAAAGUUACUCUAGGGAUAACAGGCU